GGGGUGUUUAGGUCUCUCGUGGACUUUGAGUGCCAUCCACGGAGCCAUUGUUACCUACUGCUGCAUUAAGAUUAUUUUGCAAAUCUGAAAUACGUGUGAUAUUCAUGAUUAACUGACGUCAGAAUUUGUUGCCGCUUGUUCUAGGAACUGUGGUGAGUGUAUACGUGAUGUGGCCAUCUGCACAAGCUGACGACAAAUCAGUCAACUUCUCAGGAGACCCCUUCGGAUUUUCAUUUGGUGGAUCCAGACGAACAUCAAGAAAAAGGAACAAACAAACAUUUAUUAUCGAUGCCAAUUUAGAAUCGCAAAAAUUUUAUAUAUAAACAACGAUUAUUGUAAAUAAAAUAAAUUGUGUAAAAAAUAUUAACCAUUAAAUACAUUUAUUGAA